GAUGAACGCUGGCGGCGUGCCUAUUACAUGCAAGUCGAGCGAACGGACGAGAAGCUUGCUUCUCUGAUGUUAGCGGCGGACGGGUGAGUAACACGUGGAUAACCUACCUAUAAGACUGGGAUAACUUCGGGAAACCGUAGCUAAUACCGGAUAAUAUUUUGAACCGCAUGGUUCAAAAGUGAAAGACGGUCUUGCUGUCACUUAUAGAUGGAUCCGCGCUGCAUUAGCUAGUUGGUAAGGUAACGGCUUACCAAGGCAACGAUGCAUAGCCGACCUGAGAGGGUGAUCGGCCACACUGGAACUGAGACACGGUCCAGACUCCUACGGGAGGCAGCAGUAGGGAAUCUUCCGCAAUGGGCGAAAGCCUGACGGAGCAACGCCGCGUGAGUGAUGAAGGUCUUCGGAUCGUAAAACUCUGUUAUUAGGGAAGAACAUAUGUGUAAGUAACUGUGCACAUCUUGACGGUACCUAAUCAGAAAGCCACGGCUAACUACGUG
rnacentral:rRNA from 1 species